UACAGAGGGUGCAAGCGUUGUUCGGAAUUAUUGGGCGUAAAGCGCGUGUAGGCGGCUUUGCAAGUCGGGUGUGAAAGCCCUCAGCUCAACUGAGGAAGUGCGCCCGAAACUGCAGAGCUUGAGUGCCGGAGAGGGUGGCGGAAUUCCCCAAGUAGAGGUGAAAUACGUAGAUAUCUGGAGGAACACCGGUGGCGAAGGCGGCUACCUGGCCCAACAUUGACACUGAGACCCGAAAGCGUGGGGAUCAAACAGG
rnacentral:rRNA from 1 species